rnacentral:rRNA from 1 species
AGCGAACGCUGGCGGCAGGCCUAACACAUGCAAGUCGAACGAAGUCUUCGGACUUAGUGGCGGACGGGUGAGUAACACGUGGGAACGUGCCUUUAGGCUCGGAAUAACUCAGGGAAACUUGUGCUAAUACCGAAUGUGCCCUUCGGGGGAAAGAUUUAUCGCCUUUAGAGCGGCCCGCGUCGGAUUAGCUAGUUGGUGAGGUAAAGGCUCACCAAGGCGACGAUCAGUAGCUGGUCUGAGAGGAUGAUCAGCCACAUUGGGACUGAGACACGGCCCAAACUCCUACGUGAGGCAGCAGUGGGGAAUCUUGCGCAAUGGGCGAAAGCCUGACGCAGCCAUGCCGCGUGAAUGAUGAAGGUCUUAGGAUUGUAAAAUUCUUUCACCGGGGACGAUAAUGACGGUACCCGGAGAAGAAGCCCCGGCUAACUUCGUGCCAGCAGCCGCGGUAACAC